GCUUACGGCCAUACCACCUGAACACGCCCGAUCUCGUCUGAUCUCGGAGCUAAGCAGGGUCGGGCCUGGUCAGUACUUGGAUGGGAGACCGCCUGGGAAUACCAGGUGCUGUAAGCU
rnacentral:rRNA from 1 species